GCCAUUUGGGAAUGCGGAGGCCUCAAGUGAAGUUUUAAUGUCACGUGCACAAGUACAGUGAAAUACCUUUAAUGCCCAGCUCUAACCCCAACUAUGCAGCAAUCAAUAACAAUGUAAUACUGAGAAAUACAAGGUAGAACAAAAACACACCAGAUAUAAAAAUAACUAAGAAGAACACGAUCAAGUAAGUAAGAAUACUAUAUACAGGGUCAGUUCCAGUACCAUAUUAUAAUGUACAGGGAUACUGGAUCUAUAGAGGUAGAUAUGUAUAGGGGUAAACAUACUAUAUACAGGGUCAGUUCCAG
rnacentral:lncRNA from 1 species